rnacentral:pre_miRNA from 1 species
UGUGUGUGUGUGUGUGUGUGUUUGGGUGUGUGUGUUUGUGUGUGCCCGUGUAUAUACACACACACACACACACACACACACACACACACA